CACAAUUUCCCAUCAAUUUGAUCGAAGAAGUCAUUUAUUAAUAAUGCCUUAAAUGAUGAAACAAAAUGAUAGCAGUCUGGAUUUGUGUUCCUAUAGGAAUGACUUCUAAUAUUCCCAAAUAAACAUUGCAAUGAAUCCUGAUUAAUGUUUCUAGUUAACAGGUAUUUUAAUUUGUUUAUUUUUCAGCUUAUACCAAAGAUAUUUAAAAGACUUAAGUGUUAUGACCCAAUUGUUAAUGCACAGUGAUUGUUUUGCUAAUGGCUUUUUAGUAUUUUUGUCAAUGAAUUUCAUACUUUUAAAAACUGUUAUUGCUUGAUUCCAGGGUUUGAGAUGUACAUCUUUGGAUUCAAUUUAAAAUGCUCCUGAUAAUGGUUUGCAUGCAUCUGGAAUACUUCUAGAAGCAUUCAAGGAAUCAAAUGUUUUAUUGACAAAUAAUAAUUUAUUAACAAACAUAGUGAAACAGUACUAAAUAUAAGAGAUUAUAAUUAUAGUUGGCUAAAAGAGAAAGAGCAGGAGUAGUGAAUACCAAGGUCUUUAAUAAUGGAAACAUGCUUUAGCUGUAUACUAUUAAGGGUGUAUGAAUAAUGCAUUGGGCUUCUUGAUCUAGUGAAAGAAAUCACUUUGUGUUUGUUAACAUUGAGAGAGAAGCCUAGUUGGGAAACCCACAAAUCGAAUUGGAUAAGUUUGCCUUGUAAUAUAUAGCAGUUAGCAGAAGUUUUGAUUUUAUAGAAUAUUUAUAUACCAUUGGCAUAUAGUAGGAAUUGAGCUUUAUUCAAGUGACUAGAGAUAGAGUUAUGAAACAGGGAAAACAAAAGAUGACUUGGAUAACUACCUUGUGGUACACUAGAGAUGACAUUGACCAAGUUAGACGAAAUACCGUUAAGUUUGACAAAUUGUUUCUGGUCAGAGGAAGGAACGAAACCAUGGUAAUAGUGGAUCACUAAUCUCAAUACGGUCAGGUUCAUAUUGUGGGGAACAGUGUCAAAUGCUUCAGACAAAUUAGUUAGAAUGACAUUUACCAUGCAAUUAUCCUCAAAGCAGUCUAAAAUUAAUGAAAGAAAUGAUACACUACAGGUAAUUGUGCUAUUUCCUUUAUGGAAUCUAUGUUGCUGCAGAAUAAGAAUAUGAUUCAGACUUGGACCUACAUGAUUAAUGACAAUGGAUUCAAACAAUUUGGCGAUGUAAAGUGAUAUAGAGAUAGGCCUGUAAUUCAUGGCAGAGGAGUUGUUAGAGGUGAUGGAGGCAUCAAAAGGUUUAAAAACAAGUGAAAAAUAUUCAGAGAAAAGAGAAGCUGCUUUAGAGUUGUUAGAAGCCUUAGUUGAUCCAUAGCAGAGUUUAGUAGGAAUUGAGGUGUCCUGAUUGAGAUUGUAGAAAUAUUUCCCAAAAUCACGAGAUGCGCGUGAAAGUUGGUUUUCAACAAAAUUCACUUGGGAAUGUUAGUUAAAUUUAGAGAUGCGCUUGCACUUAACUCUUAGUUCUGAGAAUUUAUUGUAAUCACAAACACGAGAAGAUCUUUUAAAUUUCAUGUGUGCCCGUUUUUUUCUGAAAAAUUGAAUUUUUGAGUUUGUUAGAGGUCAAAUGUGGGAACGAAGAGCAUUUAAUAGUAUUUGAAAGAACAAACCUAUCUAUACAGUGUAGCAAGGUAUUAUUAAAAACUGAUGCAGAGUCGUUGGCAUUGUACUGAGCAAAAGUAUCAACCCAAUUAAAAGACAAAAACAUUUAUUAAUUUCAGAAUAGUCUGUAUUAUUAAAAUCACAGUACAGGAAGGAUUCGUAUAUUUUCGGAGACUUGGGGAAAGGCAGUGGCGUAGCCAAAGGGGAUGUUACUGUGUGUAUAUUAUUUUAGGAUUUAAGUAUAAACUAUGAAUGUCUGAAAUGUUUGUAAAAUUUGUAUGACUAUUAAUUACAGAUAACAAAAAUAUUUUAUUAUUAAAGAAUAAGACUCAAUUAUCAACCAUUAUUUUGUUGGCUUAUUUUUCCUUAAAUAUAUUAAAAAAUAAAAUCCAAAUUAUUGCUAACACUGUUUGGGUUAAACCUCCAAACCACUUCAUACCUACACCACUGGAGAAAGGGCAAUUUAGUAUUUAAAGAGGAUGAUAGGAGUCAAAAGGCACUAACGGAAGUGUAGCACUACUGACAGAAAGAUCCCUGGAGAAAGCAAAAACUAGAUCGAGAAGGUCACCUGCGGAGUUAUAAAUAGUAUUACAUUGAAAGAAAUUAAGGAACGAGAAAGAAUCAGUUAAUAGAUUGGAGGCAGGUGUUGAUAAUAAAAUUCCUUUAUAAAAAAAAAUACUAAAUUAAACUCAAUUUUUUUUUUUACCACAAAGUAGACUUAUUGAAUCUUCUAUUAAAUUUUUAAGCAUUUCUGUUAGUUAAACAAUUUUACCACAG